rnacentral:rRNA from 1 species
ACGUGGGUGAUCUGCCCUGCACUUCGGGAUAAGCCUGGGAAACUGGGUCUAAUACCGGAUAUGACCUCCUAUCGCAUGGUGGGUGGUGGAAAGAUUUAUCGGUGCAGGAUGGGCCCGCGGCCUAUCAGCUUGUUGGUGGGGUAAUGGCCUACCAAGGCGACGACGGGUAGCCGACCUGAGAGGGUGACCGGCCACACUGGGACUGAGACACGGCCCAGACUCCUACGGGAGGCAGCAGUGGGGAAUAUUGCACAAUGGGCGAAAGCCUGAUGCAGCGACGCCGCGUGAGGGAUGACGGCC